CACCGUAUUUUGUACGGUAUCCUUAUCUGAAUACAUAGGAUAAGCGAAGCGAACCCGGAGAACUGAACCAUCUAAGUAUCCGGAGGAAAAGAAAUCAACCGAGAUUCCGCAAGUAGUGGCGAGCGAACGUGGAGGAGCCUGUAUAUGAUAGCUGUUGAGAUAGGAGAACAAGCUGGGAAGCUUGGCCAUAGUGGGUGAUAGCCCCGUAUUCGAAAUUUCAUCAGUGGUACUAGGUAUACGACAAGUAGGGCGGGACACGUGGAAUCCUGUCUGAAUAUGGGGGGACCAUCCUCCAAGGCUAAAUACUCAUCAUCGACCGAUAGUGAACCAGUACCGUGAGGGAAAGGCGAAAAGAACCCCGGGAGGGGAGUGAAAUAGAACCUGAAACCUGAUGCAUACAAACAGUGGGAGCCUAUUAAUUAGGUGACUGCGUACCUUUUGUAUAAUGGGUCAACGACUUACAUUCAGUAGCGAGCUUAACCGGAUAGGGGAGGCGUAGGGAAACCGAGUCUUAAUAGGGCGAUGAGUUGCUGGGUGUAGACCCGAAACCGAGUGAUCUAUCCAUGGCCAGGAUGAAGGUGCCGUAACAGGUACUGGAGGUCCGAACCCACGCAUGUUGCAAAAUGCGGGGAUGAGCUGUGGAUAGGGGUGAAAGGCUAAACAAACUCGGAGAUAGCUGGUUCUCCCCGAAAACUAUUUAGGUAGUGCCUCAUGUAUCACUUCCGGGGGUAAAGCACUGUUAUGGCUAGGGGGUCAUUGCGACUUACCAACCCAUGGCAAACUAAGAAUACCGGAAAGUGCAAUCAUGGGAGACAGACAGCGGGUGCUAACGUCCGUUGUCGAAAGGGAAACAACCCAGACCGCCAGCUAAGGUCCCAAAUGAUAGAUUAAGUGGUAAACGAAGUGGGAAGGCCCAGACAGCCAGGAUGUUGGCUUAGAAGCAGCCAUCAUUUAAAGAAAGCGUAAUAGCUCACUGGUCGAGUCGUCCUGCGCGGAAGAUGUAACGGGGCUCAAAUCUAUAACCGAAGCUGCGGAUGCACCUAGUGCAUGGUAGGGGAGCGUUCUGUAGGCCGAUGAAGGUGACUUGAGAAGGUUGCUGGAGGUAUCAGAAGUGCGAAUGUUGACAUGAGUAGCGAUAAAGCGGGUGAAAAGCCCGCUCGCCGAAAGCCCAAGGUUUCCUACGCAACGUUCAUCGGCGUAGGGUGAGUCGGCCCCUAAGGCGAGGCAGAAAUGCGUAGUCGAUGGGAAACGGGUUAAUAUUCCCGUACUUUGAUUUAGUGCGAUGUGGGGACGGAGAAGGUUAUGUCAGCGGCCUGUUGGAAUAGGUCGUUCAAGCCGGUAGGUGGAACAUUUAGGCAAAUCCGGAUGUUUAUACACCGAGAAGUGAUAACGAUUGUCUACGGACAAGAAGUGACAGAUACCACGCUUCCAGGAAAAGCCACUAAGCUUCAGCUAAAUCAGAACCGUACCGCAAACCGACACAGGUGGGCAGGAUGAGAAUUCUAAGGCGCUUGAGAGAACUCGGGAGAAGGAACUCGGCAAAUUGAUACCGUAACUUCGGGAGAAGGUAUGCCCUUCGAUGUGAAAGACUUGCUCUGUAAGCAUUGGAGGGUCGCAGAGAAUCGGUGGCUGCGACUGUUUAUUAAAAACACAGCACUCUGCUAACACGAAAGUGGACGUAUAGGGUGUGACGCCUGCCCGGUGCUGGAAGGUUAAUUGAAGAUGUGAGAGCAUUGGAUCGAAGCCCCAGUAAACGGCGGCCGUAACUAUAACGGUCCUAAGGUAGCGAAAUUCCUUGUCGGGUAAGUUCCGACCCGCACGAAUGGCGUAACGAUGGCCACACUGUCUCCUCCCGAGACUCAGCGAAGUUGAAAUGGUUGUGAAGAUGCAAUCUCCCCGCUGCUAGACGGAAAGACCCCGUGAACCUUUACUGUAGCUUUGCAUUGGACUUUGAAGUCACUUGUGUAGGAUAGGUGGGAGGCUUAGAAGCAGAGACGCCAGUUUCUGUGGAGCCGUCCUUGAAAUACCACCCUGGUGGCUUUGAGGUUCUAACCCAGGUCCGUGAUCCGGAUCGGGGACCGUGCAUGGUAGGC
rnacentral:rRNA from 1 species